UCUCCGUUGGUGAACCAGCGGAGGGAUCAUUACCGAGUUUACAACUCCCAAACCCAAUGUGAACCAUACCAAACUGUUGCCUCGGCGGGGUCACGCCCCGGGUGCGUCGCAGCCCCGGAACCAGGCGCCCGCCGGAGGGACCAACCAAACUCUUUCUGUAGUACCCUCGCGGACGUUAUUUCUUACAGCUCUGAGCAAAAAUUCAAAAUGAAUCAAAACUUUCAACAACGGAUCUCUUGGUUCUG
rnacentral:misc_RNA from 1 species